CCUGGUUGAUCCCCAGUAGUCAUAUGCUUGUCUCAAAGAUUAAGCCAUGCAUGUCUAAGUACAAGCCGAUUUAAGGCGAAACCGCGAAUGGCUCAUUAAAUCAGCUAUGAUUCAUUGGAUCUGUACCCACACUUACUUGGAUAACUGUGGUAAUUCUAGAGCUAAUACAUGCACCACGUCUCUGACCGCAAGGGAAGAGCGCUUUUUAUUAGUUCAAAACCGGUCGGGCCUCGGUCCGUCACCCCACCGUGUUGAAUCUGAAUAACUUGUCGCUGAGCGCAGGUCUCCGCACCGGCGCCGCCUCUUUCAAGUGUCUGCCUUAUCAGCUUUCGAUUGUAGGUUAUGCGCCUACAAUGGCUAUAACGGGUAACGGGGAAUCAGGGUUCGAUUCCGAGAGGGAGCCUGAGAAACGGCUACCACAUCUAAGGAAGGCAGCAGGCACGCAAAUUACCCACUCCCCGGCACGGGGAGGUAGUGACGAAAAAAUAACGAUGCGAGACUCAUCCGAGGCUCGCAAUCGGAAUGAGUACACUUUAAAUCCUUUAACGAGGAUCUAUUGGAGGGCAAGUCUGGUGCCAGCAGCGCGGUAAUUCCAGCUCCAAUAGCGUAUAUUAAAGUUGUUGCGGUUAAAAAGCUCGUAGUUGGAUUUCAGUUCUGGACUGACGGUUCACCGCCCGGUGCAUACUGUCACGCUCCGAACAGCCACAACAGCCCGCUGGCUCGCACGGGGUGCUCUUCAUCGAGUGUCCCGCGUGGCCGGCAGAGUUUACUUUGAAAAAAUUAGAGUGCUCAAAGCAGGCUACACUUACGGCCUGAAUGCCUAUGCAUGGAAUAAUGGAAUAGGACCUCGGUUCUAUUUUGUCGGUUUUCUGAACCCCCGAGGUAAUGACAAUAGGGAACAGGCGGGGGGCAUUCGUUGCGACGCUAGAGGUGAAAUUCUUGGACCGUCGCAAGGGACGAACUUUACUCAGCGAAACUAUUUUCGCAAGCGGAUGUUUUGACUUAAUCUUAAGACGAAAUUAGAGGUUCGGAAAGGCGAUCGAUAUCCGCCACUAGUUCUAAACCAAUCAAAGACGUAUGCUUGUGAGCACUCAGCGAAUUCCGCCGCCGAAUUCCGCCAAUGGACCCGACGCUGCGGCGCUUCCGGGGAACCUCUCACAAAGUUCUUUUGGGUUCCAGGGGAAGGCAUUUUCUGACAGUUGGACUAGUAUAAUACAGGGCUCCGCCCCUAUAGGCCGUCAUCCUUGGCGAGGCUCCACCCCCUAGCGUAUUACCAACAAUGAUUGCAUAAAUAACCCUUUAAAAAACGCAACUUAUAGAUUGUUUAAACGACCAAGGUACUUUUAUAAAAGGAAUUAAUGCAAGAGUGAUGUUAAGAUACGGAUCUGUUUUUCUAAUACCUUGAAGUUUCCUCCCUCCUUAAAGUAUACUGCUUAUAAAAGGCACAUUAGUAUAAUAUUUUUGGGUGCAUCCCGGUAACAGCUGUAACUCCUUUACACAAAUGUUGUGCAUAACAUCCAUCAGCAAAAGUAGAAUGGAUAGCUGGGAAUUUGAAUGCAUUAAUAUUUUCUACGAAUUAUUUUAGGUAAGACAUAUAUUUAUUUGUAUGUCAUGGAUGACUUUUAAUGUUGUGCCAAUAAGCUUGAAUUAAGAAAAGGUAACCCUAUUGGCUGAUAGUUAUUUUUUUAAGGCAUGUUUCAGCCUGAAUCACACUCACCCGCUUUAUAACAAUAGAUCGACUUUCGUCCGAGGUCUGCAGCAGCACUCAGCAUCAUGGAUGCUACAGGUAGGACGUGAUGGCCUUUCGAAACGUGCAGAGAUUGUGAUAGGAGAGAAGUGUGACCUUUCAGAACAAUA
rnacentral:rRNA from 1 species